rnacentral:lncRNA from 1 species
UGUGGGCUAUUUGGGUAUGAUCUUUUCGAUAAGUAUGAUGUGUUCUAGUGAUGGAUUUAACGACCUUUCACGGUACGGUACUAGUGUUACGUGGAAAUGAAUACAUCGAUUGUCAAGUGUGAAUACUAACUACUUAAGGAGUUAUCAGUGGUAUGACAUGUUUAGAUAAUGAGAUUUGGUGUUGCUUUCACAUUUGAGAAACCAACUAGUUUAUUAUUACGGGCGCUUGGAUUAAGUAUUAUUUUUAAGGAAAAUUUUAGUGGUGGAUCUUUGGUACGGUAUUAAUACAUUUAGGUUAUGAAAUGUAUCUUGAGGGUUCUGAAUGAGGACUGAUGAUUUUAUCUUAAGCUCCAAAAGAGUAGAUUGAUACCGGAAUGACAAACUUAUGGAUAAAGAAAGUCAGUGAG